GAUAGGGUUGUCCUUGUUCAAUAGAGACAUUGGACUUGUCUCAACGAUGUUCCUAUCUGCCACGAUAUUGCAGGAUAUUUAGGUUGACUCAGUUUCCCUGACUUUGUAAAGACUACACCCUGAAGGGAGCCCUACUUACUUGUUCAAUUGUGUUCCCACCCUCGAAGGAAGACCUUUCAAAACGGGGGUGUUACUAGUUUCUACAGGUUCAUGGAAGCUAUGUUGCCGAACACUGUCUAACUGAGAUGGCUAGCUAAAUAAUUACAAUGGCUGUUUCUGAUGAUUCCUCUUUCCAAGAAGAGCUAGACCACUAAACCGUUUUUGAUGUUCUUUUACAUACUAACAUAGGGACAUACUAACCUAUUCAUUUGAGCUGGAAUACACUGAAGAGGAGUUGAGACAGCGAACACAAUAAUUGCGAGACCAGCAAGCAGCGAUGGGGAGCUACAGUCAGACUGGUGGUGCCAACAGAAGAAUAAUGUCUGUGCUGUAACUAAUUAGAUCAUGGACAGUUCUUACUGGAGAGGGUCACUGCAGACCCCAUGGACCGCGUGCGUGUGUGUGCGCAUGUGUGUGUGUGUGUGUGUGUGUGUGUGUGUGUGUCAGAACAUCUAAGUUUCUACUCACAUAUGGAUAGAGGUGUGCUGGAGACAUUCUUCAGAAGAUCAACUGGCGGCGGCAGCCUAGAUCAGCUGGACCAGGAGGGCAAAUGACAAAUGGACAAUACUGCUUGGUGGCCUACAGAUAAUUUUUGGAGUUUAUUCUACGUGGGGAGAAGCUAGGCACAGGAUACAUAAUCCCCUUGCCUGCGUGUGUUGUUGGGGCCAUGCGAGCAAUUCAAGAGGAGAUGUGAAGGGUCUAUAACAACAAUCUCCUCUUGUAUCCAAACACCUCACUUCACCCCCAAACACACCAUAUGCAAGUAUUCCCUUUUUAGAACUGUAGUAUUUAUUAUAGGCGUUAGUAGUAUAUUUUUAUUCUACUGUAAAUAUGUCAUACAUUGCUAUAACUGUUCCUGCAUACUGCUGUGUAAACUCACCUCGGUCUCCAGAGCAAAUAAACUUUGUGUUGAAUACAA